rnacentral:rRNA from 1 species
AUGCCAUGUCUAUUUCUCCCUGGCAGCAACUUCAACCGGUUAGCAGCAAGCAAACUGCAUUCUUUAGCAAAUCAUAGUUGCAUACAGCAAAGGCCAUGGCCCGGUGCCCAGCAGCAGCUAGCAAGCACGCACACGAGCACACAACAAGUACGUACACACAGACACACACACACACAACAACAUGCGCGCACGCCGCACGCAGAAGCAAGAGCACACACAGCCAACACACAAGCAAGCGCGGGAGGACCGGACGGGAGGAUAUCAGGGAAUGGAGAAGGUGGACGGGAUACCUUGAUGGCGGCGUCGGAGACUCCAAGCACCAGCGAGACAAAUCCAUGGGGCGGUUCCAGACGCCGGCGAGCGAAUCCAGGUAGUGGCGGCAGUGGCAGCAACUCCGCAGCGUACUCGUACGGUCACCGGCGAAUCCUACAUCAAAUCUGGUGCACAACAAAUUGUGUGAGAGAGUAA